rnacentral:tRNA from 2 species
GGGGUCAUGGUGUAACCUGGCAGCAUAUUAGGCUCCAGACCUGAGGAUUGGGGUUCAAAUCCCUAUGACCCCA